GACGAACGCUGGCGGCGUGCCUAAUACAUGCAAGUCGAGCGGACGGAUGGGAGCUUGCUCCCAGACCGUCAGCGGCGGACGGGUGAGUAACACGUGGGCAACCUGCCUGUAAGACUGGGAUAACUCCGGGAAACCGGGGCUAAUACCGGAUAACUCUUUCCCUCACAUGAGGGAAAGCUGAAAGAUGGCAUCUCGCUAUCACUUACAGAUGGGCCCGCGGCGCAUUAGCUAGUUGGUGAGGUAACGGCUCACCAAGGCGACGAUGCGUAGCCGACCUGAGAGGGUGAUCGGCCACACUGGGACUGAGACACGGCCCAGACUCCUACGGGAGGCAGCAGUAGGGAAUCUUCCGCAAUGGACGAAAGUCUGACGGAGCAACGCCGAGUGAGUGAUGAAGGUUUUCGGAUCGUAAAACUCUGUUGUCAGGGAAGAACAAGUACCGGAGUAACUGCCGGUACCUUGACGGUACCUGACCAGAAAGCCACGGCUAACUACGUG
rnacentral:rRNA from 1 species